CGGGGGCGCGGGCCGGGGUCGCCGAUCCCUCCGGCUGGCCGGACGGCGCCGAGGAUACUGGAGAGAGCUUCGGGACGGUGUCUCAGAAGCCCUUUGUGAGCCUUUCCCACGCGCCUUCUAACCCUGCACGAGCUCGGGUGGUCUUUCGUGUGUUUUCCAGGUGGAGUUAAAGGCAAAAGGUGACUUGUCCAAGUUCUAUUUCACAGCCCUACAAAGGAGUUCCCAUACUGGUUUUCUGCCUUCCCCAAAUCAGGAAGUUGGGACCAAGAGUCUUCCAGCUGUCUGGAGCCCAGUACAGUCCUCUGCAGCCCUCACCUUGCUAGAUGAUAACUUUACACAGGCAAUAAGACC
rnacentral:lncRNA from 1 species